rnacentral:rRNA from 1 species
UGCGCCUUGCCAGCCCGCUCAGAAACUCAAAGGAAUUGACGGGGGCCCGCACAAGCGGUGGAGCAUGUGGUUUAAUUCGAUGAUACGCGAGGAACCUUACCUGGGCUCAAAUGUAUGUUGACGUAUUCUGAAAGGGAUACUUCUUCGGACAAUAUACAAGGUGCUGCAUGGUUGUCGUCAGCUCGUGUCGUGAGAUGUUGGGUUAAGUCCCGCAACGAGCGCAACCCUUGCCUUUAGUUGCCAGCAGUUCGGCUGGGCACUCUAAAGGGACUGCCGGUGUUAAACCGGAGGAAGGUGGGGAUGACGUCAAGUCCUCAUGGCCUUUAUGACCAGGGCUACACACGUACUACAAUGGCCGAUACAAAGGGCAGCGACACUGCGAGGUGAAGCCAAUCCCGUAAAAUCGGUCUCAGUCCGGAUUGGAGUCUGCAACUCGACUCCAUGAAGUUGGAAUCGCUAGUAAUCGUGGAUCAGCAUGCCACGGUGAAUACGUUCCCGGGCCUU